rnacentral:piRNA from 1 species
UGUGGUGUUUAUCUCUUUGCCAAGAGGGGA